GAAAUGCGAUAAGUAAUGUGAAUUGCAGAAUUCAGUGAACCAUCGAAUCUUUGAACGCACAUUGCGCCCGGUAGUAAUCUGCCGGGCAUGCCUGUCCGAGCGUCAUUUCUCCCCUCGAGCGCGGCUUCACGGCCUGUCGCCCGGUGUUGGGGCGCUACGGAGGAGCCCCGCGCUCCGCCCGUAGGCCCCGAAAUGUAGUGGCGGUCCCGCCGCGGCGCCCCCUGCGUAGUAGUCUUACAACUCGCAUCGGGUCCCGGCGGAGGCCAGCCGUCAAACCCCCAACUUCUCAAUAGUUUGACCUCGGAUCAGGUAGGGUUACCCGCUGAACUUAA
rnacentral:misc_RNA from 1 species